rnacentral:rRNA from 1 species
AGUGAAUAGAUACCCCGGUAGUCCCAGCUGUAAACGAUGCGCGUUAGGUGUAUCAGUGACCACGAGUCACUGAGGUGCCGAAGAGAAAUCGUGAAACGUGCCGCCUGGGAAGUACGGUCGCAAGGCUGAAACUUAAAGGGAAUUGGCGGGGGAGCACCACAACGGGUGGAGCCUGCGGUUUAAUCGGACUCAACGCCGGGAAACUCACCAGAUAAGACAGCUGUAUGAUUGUCGGGCUGAAGACUCUACAUGACUAGCUGAGAGGAGGUGCAUGGCCGUCGUCAGUUCGUACUGUGAAGCAUCCUGUUAAGUCAGGCAACGAGCGAGACCCACGCCAACAGUUGCCAGCUCGUCCUCCGGGAUGGAGGGGACACUGUUGGGACCGCCUCUGCUAAAGAGGAGGAAGGAAUGGGCAACGGUAGGUCAGCAUGCCCCGAAUUAUCUGGGCUACACGCGGGCUACAAUGGGUGGACAAUGGGUAUCGACACCGAAAGGUGAAGGCAAUCU